ensembl:lncRNA
CUAGAAAUCAAUAGGGGUCUCCCUUCACAGGUGCAAAUCCUGUCAACUGUGGUGAAAGCUGCACUUUUCUCUCCCCACUUCCAGGCUGUCCUUUUUUUUCUGAGGGUAGGAAGACCCUUCAAGGGGAUCUGGACACACUGGAUCACUGGGCUGAGGCCAAUGGGAUGAAGUUCAACAAGACCAAGUAUAACUUGUUACAACAAUCCCAUGCAAUGCUACAGACUUGGGACAGAGUGGUUGAAAGACUGUGUGGAAGAAAUGGACCUAGGGGUGUUGUUUGAAACUUGGCUGAACAUGAGCCAGCAGUGUGCCCAUGCAACCACAAAGGCCAGUGGCAUCCUGACCUGCAUAAGCUCUCCUCUGGAUGUGCUCCAACAAGCCUAUGUCUCUCCUGUACUGAGGACUCCGUAUCUGGAUUUAGAACUCCAGCUGAGGUCUCACCAGCACAGAGUAGAGGGACAGAAUCAUCUCCCUCAACCUUCUUGUUUUGAUGCAGAGACAAAAAGUGCUAACAGGAAUUGUCUAAAAGCAGUGAAAAGAACAUAUCAGUGAAGAAUUAAAGUUUCCUACAGAUGGUAUUGAUCUAUGAAAAAGGAGAAACUGGAAAAAGAAAUCCAAACUUGGUAGCAGAAGAAAGACAUAUAUAUGUAUAAUGUCAUGGUUUUAUGGUUUGUUAAUGGUAUUCCACAUUAGAACAUCAUGUAGUAUACUGGGAGCUAAUGAGUUAAUUCUACAGUUCCAUGGAUUGUUGCUAUUUCUGGACAUGUACAUAUAUAAUGAAUAUAAAAUUUGGAAAAUAGUUGUUCAUUUUGUCAGAAAAUAAUGAUGUAUGAAACUUUUGCUCAUUUUUAAUGGUUUAUAAGAAAUUGAACCUUCAAAAAUAUUUCAAUUAAUGUUAAAAUGACAACUAUUCAUGUUGUUAUAAGCGCUUCAGGUUAAACUGUUUGAAUCAUUAAGUAAGGAGGCUACAAUGAUUUUUAAGAAUGCUUGUGGCAGCGGGGGAAGAAAUAGUUAGACCUAGAGACUUUAAGGAUUAUAACAAGGAAAACUGCACAAAGAAGAAAAGCAAGUAAGUAAAAGAAGAAAGAAAUGCAUAGGAAAUAACAGAGAACUAAGACUAAGUUUAUUCAGAUAUGCUAGACUGUUCAGUAAAUACAAAGACAGGACUCAAUACAAAAUAGUAGUAAAUUGCCAAGUACAGUGAAAAAAAAAAAAAAAAAAAGUAAUCCUGCAGUAAUUUGGAGCAAAUUUCUAUAUGAGCUCUAGAGUAGGUGACUUCUUGUUACAGUAAUUAUUGAAUACAGCUCUUAUUACCAAAAUGAAGAAAAAUAUAUCUGUUAGCUGAUUUUAAAUGGAUUCUCAGGUAUGCAAACUUACACAAGAAAAAGAAAACAACAUCAUAAACUAUUUAAUAUGGAAAAAUAACUUUUCAUUAUCAAUAGCAUCCUGAACAUCCACUUGUCAACAAAGAGUAGUUGAAGUAAAUGGCAGCAAUGUGGAAGAUACAUUAUUUGUUUGCCAGUCUCAUAUUAGAUAUUAAAUGUAAUAACAACGUUACCAUGUUUCUCACUGCAUUUGAAUAACAAAUCCAGAUAUGGCUGGAUUUCUGUGGGAGGACGGUGUCUGCUUCUCUCAUCCACUUACUACUCUGUUACUUUCCUAACUUCAAAUAAAUUUAUUUUAUCUAAUUAUUGAGUGUCUUUGUAAGAGAAAACCAUGUUACCUCAGUGUGGUAGAAACAGCGUGUUACCUCAGUGUGGAAGAAACAUACAAAUGGUACAAAUUGUACAAAAUUGUACAAAAAGUUGAAUAAAAUUGGGAAAUAAUUAGGUAGGGGGAAAAAAAGCAAAACCAAGUAAACAACAACAACAAAAAAGGAACAAAUAACUACUUGAGAUAACUGUACUG